rnacentral:lncRNA from 1 species
CAAGCAUCCCUGAGCUUCAGACAGAAAGUCACUGAGCAUACACUCAAGAACCAUCAAGAAAUGGGGACCUGGAUCUUGUUUGCCUGCCUCCUGGGAGCAGCUUUUGCUAUGCCCCUACCACCUCAUCCUGGGAGCCCUGGUUAUAUCAACUUAAGCUAUGAGGUGCUUACCCCCUUGAAGUGGUACCAGAGCAUGAUAAGGCAGCCGUAUCCUUCCUAUGGUUACGAACCCAUGGGUGGAUGGCUGCACCACCAAAUCAUCCCUGUGCUGUCUCAACAGCAUCCCCCGAGUCACACCCUUCAGCCUCAUCACCACCUCCCAGUGGUGCCAGCUCAACAGCCCGUGGCCCCCCAGCAACCAAUGAUGCCAGUUCCUGGCCACCACUCCAUGACUCCAACCCAACACCAUCAGCCAAACAUCCCUCCAUCCGCCCAGCAGCCCUUCCAGCAGCCCUUCCAGCCCCAGGCCAUUCCACCCCAGU